UACGAAGGGUUCGAACGUUGUCCGGAAUAACUGGGCGUAAAGGGCGCGUAGGCGGUCGGGUAAGUCACAUGUGAAAGCUCUGGGCUCAACCCAGGAAUUGCAUUUCAUACUGCUCGACUUGAGUUCGGUAGAGGAGGGCGGAAUUCCAGGUGUAGCGGUGAAAUGCGUAGAUAUCGGGAGGAACACCAGUGGCGAAGGCGGCGACCUGGGCCAAUACUGACGCUGAGGUGCGAAAGCGUGGGGAGCAAACAGG
rnacentral:rRNA from 1 species